rnacentral:rRNA from 1 species
AGGAAUAUUGGUCAAUGGGCGAGAGCCUGAACCAGCCAAGUAGCGUGCAGGAUGACGGCCCUAUGGGUUGUAAACUGCUUUUAUAAGGGAAUAAAGUGAGAGUCGUGACUCUUUUUGCAUGUACCUUAUGAAUAAGGACCGGCUAAUUCCGUGCCAGCAGCCGCGGUAAUACGGAAGGUCCGGGCGUUAUCCGGAUUUAUUGGGUUUAAAGGGAGCGUAGGCCGGAGAUUAAGCGUGUUGUGAAAUGUAGACGCUCAACGUCUGCACUGCAGCGCGAACUGGUUUCCUUGAGUACGCACAAAGUGGGCGGAAUUCGUGGUGUAGCGGUGAAAUGCUUAGAUAUCACGAAGAACUCCGAUUGCGAAGGCAGCUCACUGGAGCGCAACUGACGCUGAAGCUCGAAAGUGCGGGUAUCGAGCAGGAUUAGAUACCCUGGUAGUCCGCACGGUAAACGAUGGAUGCCCGCUGUUGGUCUGAACAGGUCAGCGGCCAAGCGAAAGCAUUAAGCAUCCCACCUGGGGAGUACGCCGGCAACGGUGAAACUCAAAGGAAUUGACGGGGGCCCGCACAAGCGGAGGAACAUGUGGUUUAAUUCGAUGAUACGCGAGGAACCUUACCCGGGCUUGAAUUGCAGAGGAAGGAUUUGGAGACAAUGACGCCCUUCGGGGCCUCUGUGAAGGUGCUGCAUGGUUGUCGUCAGCUCGUGCCGUGAGGUGUCGGCUUAAGUGCCAUAACGAGCGCAACCCCUCUCCUUAGUUGCCAUCAGGUCAUGCUGGGCACUCUGGGGACACUGCCACCGUAAGGUGUGAGGAAGGUGGGGAUGACGUCAAAUCAGCACGGCCCUUACGUCCGGGGCUACACACGUGUUACAAUGGCAGGUACAGAGAGACGGUCCCUUGCAAAAUGGAUCAAAUCCUUAAAGCCUGUCUCAGUUCGGACUGGGGUCUGCAACCCGACCCCACGAAGCUGGAUUCGCUAGUAAUCGCGCAUCAGCCAUGGCGCGGUGAAUACGUUCCCG